rnacentral:rRNA from 1 species
GAUGAACGCUGGCGGCGUGCCUAAUACAUGCAAGUCGAGCGAACAGACGAGGAGCUUGCUCCUCUGACGUUAGCGGCGGACGGGUGAGUAACACGUGGAUAACCUACCUAUAAGACUGGGAUAACUUCGGGAACCGGAGCUAAUACCGGAUAAUAUAUUGCACCGCAUGGAUCAAUAGUGAAAGACGGUUUUGCUGUCACUUAUAGAUGGAUCCGCGCCGCAUUAGCUAGUUGGUAAGGUAACGGCUUACCAAGGCAACGAUGCGUAGCCGACCUGAGAGGGUGAUCGGCCACACUGGAACUGAGACACGGUCCAGACUCCUACGGGAGGCAGCAGUAGGGAAUCUUCCGCAAUGGGCGAAAUCCGGACGGAGCAACGCCGCGUGAGUGAUGAAGGUCUUCGGAUCGUAAAACUCUGUUAUUAGGGAAGAACAAAUGUGUAAGUAACUAUGCACGUCUUGACGGUACCUAAUCAGAAAGCCACGGCUAACUACGUG